rnacentral:tRNA from 1 species
CAGGUUAAACUUAUAGUUAAGAUUUUCAUUUACACUGAAAUAAUAAUCGUGCAAUUCGGUGUAAUCUGA